AGCUGCUCCUGCACUGUCCGUGGACUCCCCACAACCCAGGGCUCUAGGGGGAACCCAUUUUCCACAGCGGAGGAGGGGCAGGAGUCACCAACCCAUCCCCCUUUAUCUCAUCUUCCUCCAUCCCUCCUCCUCCUCCUUCUCGUCCUUCCCUGAGCCGCUGCCGGCUGGGGCCCGGUGCCAGCCGUGGGGGUCCCUUCGCUGUCUCUCUGGUGAAUCCCGGCCUGGGAGGAAGAGGAGGGGUGGGGGCGGGAGCCGCGGCUUCGCGGGGGGCCAGGAGGGAGCCUGAGUCUUUCUCCAUGGCGAGGCCGGGGGAGAGGAAGCUCCCGAGGAGGGAACCCGGGAGCUGACUCAGCGGAGCAGUGCAGCAUGUUUUCCCGGGAGCACGGCUUCCCUGCCGGAGCCUGCGGAGGGAGGUCUGAGGAGGUAGCGCAGUGCUUCAGCAAUGUUAUAGACUCUCCCACUGAAGGCUUUCCAUGUGCCCUCACUCCGGCUGUCCCCAACAAGACUGUGGACUUGUUUGAGAUGAUUGAAAAAAUGCAGGGGAGUCGUCUGGAUGAACAAAGAUGUUCCCUUCCAGCUCCUCUCAAGACAGAAGAGGAGUAUAUUCCUUACCCCAGCAUCCAUGAGGUAUUACAGAAAGGGUGGCCAUAUCCUCUCAUUAUCUUACCCCAGUUUGGGGGCUACUGGAUUGAAGGGACCAGCCACAACCUGUCCAGCUUGAGUCCAACUCUGUCUGAUGUACCCUUUCCCUGGAGUGGUAAAGUGAAACUGGAAAGUGACCCUACAGCCAAGCUGUACCGCAAACAUUUUCUGGGAAAGGAGCACCAGAACUUUUACUCCAGUGACAUGUCCUUGGGCUACCUAGUACUUUCUGUGAAGUAUGAACAGAUUGAGAAACAGGAAAAUCUACGCCUGUUGCUGAGGACUCGUACUGGCACCAAACAUGACCUAAUCCCCAUUUCCUGUCUGAAUGAGUUUCCCAAUGCUGUCCAGAUGGCAAAGCUACUGUGUGAGGAUGUGAAUGUUGAACGCUUCUUUCCUGUCCUCUAUCCCAAGGCUUCGCAGCUUAUUGUUGCAUUUGAUGAACAUGUCAUAAGCAAUAACUUCAAAUUUGGGGUCAUCUACCAGAAACCUGGACAGACAACUGAAGAAGAAGUCUUCAGUAACACAGUAGAGAGUCAGGGUUUCCUGGAGUUCCUGGAUUUCCUUGGUGACAAGAUUCAGCUGCAGGAUUUCCGUGGGUUCCGGGGAGGCUUGGAUGUUACCAGAGGUCAAACAGGCACUGAGUCUGUCUAUACAAAUUUCCGGGGGAAGGAGAUCAUGUUUCACGUAUCUACAAAGCUGCCCUUCACAGAGGGAGAUUCACAACAGCUUCAGCGGAAGCGUCACAUUGGGAAUGACAUUGUAGCCAUCAUCUUCCAGGAUGAAAGCACACCUUUUGUCCCUGAUAUGAUUGCUUCUAAUUUCCUACAUGCUUAUGUGGUAGUUCAGCUCACUCAUAGCACCACUGGGGACACUCUCUACAAGGUUUCAGUCACAGCCCGAGAUGAUGUCCCCUUCUUUGGACCCCCUCUGCCAAAUCCAGCCAUAUUUAAAAAGAGUGCAGAAUUUCGUGAAUUCCUUCUGGUCAAGCUCAUCAAUGCUGAGUACAGCUGCUAUCGAGCUGAGAAAUUUGCUAAAUUAGAGGAAAGAACACGGAGUGCCCUCUUGGAGAGCCUUUUUGAGGAGCUGCAGCUUCGCAGCCGCAGUAUGAUGGGAUUACCCACAGGGGAGGAUGACAAGAUAGAGAAUGGCAGUGGGGGCUUCCUGGAAAAUUUCAAGCGGGUGAUCAGAGGCCGCAGCCAGAGCCUGGAUACCAUGGGGAUAUCCAUGAGAAAGCAGCAGCCAGCCCUGCCCAGCCGCCCAGCUACAGCUGGCCUUGCCCUCAGCCAGAGUGUCGCCGAGGGCCCUAAGGCCAUUGCUGCGUCUUUUGCCUUGCCUGGUAGGAGCCCAUCACGUACUCGAGCCAGCCGCUUCCAUGGGCGACGGAGUAGUGCCAUUGGCAUUGAGAACAUACAGGAGGAAAAGAGCAGAGACACUGCAGAGAGGAUACAGAGGGUGUUGGACAGUCCAGGAACUUUCUUUGACCUGAAGUCUGAUGGAUCAUCCAGUCCCAGCUCCCCAGAGUUCCCCAGCAGGAAGAGCAAAAUGCUCAGGAGUCACACUUCAGGAUACUGUGUGAUGCAGCCACUCUCACGUUCUUCAUCCAGUGUAAGCAGUUGUUGUAGUGGAUUAAGGGAAAAUGGAGCAUCUGAGGAAGAGGAGAAUGACAGGGAGCUGACGUGCUCUCUUGAGGGCCCUCCAAAACAGGAUUCAAUGGUUCAGAAUAUGUGGCUGGAUGACAGUGACUGCACACCCAGUACUUCUAGCUCACCAGGAAGCAGGUUGCUUCCUUCCAGCAGUGUUGCUGGCUCCACUGGAAAAGGAAAAGGCAGCAAAGCAGAUGCUCAGCACCAUAAUCCAGCCUCCAUUUUGUGCUGUGUGUGAUGUCACCGCUGGAGGACUGUCUUGGUGCACACUGGGUGAGGAGCACAGGUAAUGGACGUGGAGGAGCGCUGUAGGCCCUUGGCUCAGGAUGGAGGCAGGCCCUGGGCCAUCCCUGGCCUCACUGAAACAGUGCAGCAAUUACUGUAGGGCUCCACAGUAAACAGAGUUAAUCCUAUACCUUCUUCCCCAAACGAUCUUCCAUGGCCAGCUGACUCUGGCCUGCCUAAUGUACCUAAGCUCUCCCUUUCUUGGUUGCCUCCUUCCUCUCAGGGAACAGCAUUUCCCAUUGAGACACUGCUCUCUGCCCUAAUCUAGGCACAGUUUUUUUCCUCCUCUUUUUUGUUUGUUUGUUCAAUUUCCUUUGCUCAGAUGCAAUCUAGCUUUCUCUGUGCCUAUCUACUGCUUCUUAUAGUUUCAUACUCUACAGAACCCCUUUCUUUUGCUCAUUUUGUAAUGUUGUGCCUAUCUGUUCACUUGCUUGUUUGCUUUUAGCCUAGUAUUGCUGGGACCUACUUGUCCACGCCAGUUUCACAGCUUUUCCAGACAUGGGAAGUGGGACUUGAUCUCCUGGAGAGAUCUGUAAUAGAGCAAAGGGGAACACACCUUCAGGAUUUGCUGUUCAAAUGAACAAGUGUGAACAUGCUUUACCUUAAAGUUCAGAAAAAGACAAAAACCAGAAUUCCAGCUGCUGCUAGUUCUUCUGCUUCAUUCAGUGAUGCAUCAGAGACAGCCUGGGAUGAUUGAGAAAUCAAGCUUCAUACAAAUCAAAUUAGUUUCAAUGUGCUACUCCAAUUCAGCCAAUACAGGGCCAGGAUCAAACUGUUUCCAUGGAAAUUUCUUAAUUUUAUUGUUUCCACACCCUUCCCUCUACAGACUAUGUGAUGGAAAGUCCCUCAUAGCCAUAUCCAAAUCACUUUUGGAUAGGCAGCAGUUAGGGCAUCCUUGAGGAAGCAAAAUACAAUCUGGUUCAGUUACCAGCUAAACUUGCAUGGUGAUCACCACUGUCCUGUGAAGACAUUACUGUAAAACUUGCAUUAACUAAAACCCCCUGCAAAGUCUGGGAUUGGUGCUGCACAUGUAUGGUGGUUUCCUCAAAUGUCAGUCACUGCAGAGCAAGGUGCACAAAAUACUGUUCAGGAUGGGGACAGUUCCUUUUGAAAUACUUGAUUGGUUCCCUAGACUUUUCUUUGGGCUUGAAUUGUGUCCCCUCCAGUUGCCACGCUGCUAAGUAAAAGGAAGCAUGAAUACCUUAUCCUGUGCUUCUAGUGCCUAUGUAGUAUAUUGGAUUUAAAAUAAAAGAAGAAUAUGGCCAGCUUCUCUUAG